rnacentral:rRNA from 1 species
AUUGAACGCUGGCGGCAGGCUUAACACAUGCAAGUCGAGCGGUAACAGAGAGAAGCUUGCUUCUCUGCCGACGAGCGGCGGACGGGUGAGUAAUGCCUAGGAAUCUGCCUAGUAGUGGGGGAUAACUUGCCGAAAGGUAAGCUAAUACCGCAUACGUCCUACGGGAGAAAGGAGGGGACCUUCGGGCCUUUCGCUAUUAGAUGAGCCUAGGUCGGAUUAGUUAGUUGGUGAGGUAAUGGCUCACCAAGUCCGCGAUCCGUAACUGGUCUGAGAGGAUGAGCAGUCACACUGGAACUGAGACACGGUCCAGACUCCUACGGGAGGCAGCAGUGGGGAAUAUUGGACAAUGGGGGGAACCCUGAUCCAGCCAUGCCGCGUGUGUGAAGAAGGUCUUAGGAUUGUAAAGCACUUUAAGUUGGGAGGAAGAGCAGUUAACUAAUAUUUGACUGUUUUGACGUUACCGACAGAAUAAGCACCGGCUAACUUCGUGCCAGCCGCCGCAGUAA